GUCAUCCCGAACGGAAUGGUCAGGAUCGGUUCGCGGGGCGAUUCAGGAGAGUUCAAGGGCACACAAUGUCCGAAGCGGGGCCAGCUUCUGAGAUAGGCGGCUUUGGCGGUGCGGUGCAAGCACAAGGGCCGGUCCGGAAAAGAAAAAGGGAGGGCUUUAAAGCCCUCCCCUGGUCUCGCCGGUCUUCCUGUACGGACUGU
rnacentral:misc_RNA from 1 species